rnacentral:rRNA from 1 species
UACGGAGGAUGCGAGCGUUAUCCGGAUUUAUUGGGUUUAAAGGGUGCGUAGGCGGGAUGCCAAGUCUGCGGUAAAAAUGCGGUGCUCAACGCCGUCGAGCCGUUGAAACUGGCGUUCUUGAGUGGGCGAGAAGUAUGCGGAAUGCGUGGUGUAGCGGUGAAAUGCAUAGAUAUCGCGCAGAACUCCGAUUGCGAAGGCAGCAUACCGGCGCCCUACUGACGCUGAGGCACGAAAGCGUGGGUAUCGAACAGG